AUCCAACCGAUGAGUCCCAAAUAGGACGGGACGUACGUCCUGGGU
rfam:Schistosoma haematobium scaffold346_7, whole genome shotgun sequence.